CCGUCAACUGGGGUUGGCCGUGGCCAGCGGCCGACCGCACGGGCAGGGACGGCUCCCCUCACGCGCCCCGGCCGCUCCCAGUCGCAGCUGCACCAGGCAGCGACGCCCCCCGGGCCCCGGCCCGCCGCGGUCACCGACGCGCGCAGGUGUCGCGCGCCCGGCUCGCGCGCGUGGCUGCGCGCCCGCUUUCUGGUGGCCCGGCCGGCCGACCGAGAGCGCUG
rnacentral:lncRNA from 1 species